GCACAGGUAGCUCAACUGGUACAGAAUGAGACCCCUUAAUCUCAGGGUCAUGGGUUUGAGCCCCACAUUGAGCA